UCCGGUUUAACACCGGCGGUCUUUUUAGAGUGCCCAACUUAAUGCUGGCAACUAAAAACAGGGGUUGCGCUCGUUGCGGGACUUAACCCAACAUCCUACGACACGAGCUGACGACAGCCAUGCAGCACUUGUAUCUGAGCCCCGAAGGGAAGUCCUAUCUCUAGGAUUGUCUCAGUAUGUCAAGACCAGGUAAGGUUCUGCGCGUUGCUUCGAAUUAAACCACAUACUCCACCGCUUGUGCGGGCCCCCGUCAAUUUCUUUGAGUUUCAGCCUUGCGGCCGUACUUCCCAGGCGGGAUACUUAAUGCGUUAGCUUUGAUACUCAGGGGGUUAACUCCCCGAACAUCUAGUAUCCAUCGUUUACGGCGCGGACUAC
rnacentral:misc_RNA from 1 species